rnacentral:rRNA from 1 species
CGAACGAACCCUUCGGGGUUAGUGGCGCACGGGUGCGUAACGCGUGGGAACCUGCCUUUAGGUUCGGAAUAACAGUUAGAAAUGACUGCUAAUACCGGAUAAUGUCUUCGGACCAAAGAUUUAUCGCCUUUAGGUGGGCCCGCGUUAGAUUAGAUAGUUGAUGGGGUAAUGGCCUACCAAGUCGACGAUCUAUAGCUGGUCUGAGAGGAUGAUCAGCCACACUGGGACAGAGACACGGCCCAG